CCUACGGGGGGCUGCAGUGGGGAAUAUUGGGCAAUGGGCGCAAGCCUGACCCAGCAACGCCGCGUGAAGGAAGAAGGCUUUCGGGUUGUAAACUUCUUUUCGCAGGGACGAAGCAAGUGACGGUACCUGAGGAAUAAGCGGCGGAUAACUACGUGCCAGCAGCCGCGGUAAGACGGAGGGGGCAAGCGUUAUCCGGAUUUACUGGGUGUAAAGGGAGUGUAGGCGGGGACGGAAGUCAGAUGUGAAACCCACGGGCUCAACCUGGGGACUGCAUUUGAAACUGUGUUGCUUGAGUGCAGGAGAGGCAGACGGAAUUCCUAGUGUAGCGGUGAAAUGCGUAGAUAUUAGGAGGAACACCAGUGGCGAAGGCGGUCUACUGGACAGCAACUGACGCUGAGGCGCGAAAGCGUGGGGAGCAAACAGGAUUAGAUACCCCAGUAGUC
rnacentral:rRNA from 1 species